UUGGCAGAGAAUUAAAAAAGGAAAUUAUUUGCACCAGAUAAUUUUUUUAGCUACCGUUAUUCCGUGACCGUGAGGCGUCAUUCGCGCUUGCGCUCACAUAAAUCUUACUUUCAAUCAAAGGCGGAAGAAAAUAGUAUUUAUUAAAAUGUAAUGUUAAAAAUAUAUUUUAGGGUUCCACCCCAUCAUGUUCGAAAAUAAGUCUACCUUGAAACAAAAGAAAUUCUACCUGUCGUUUCCACGACUCCGUUAUAAAUUUGUACCGCUUCAUUGCACUGUAAGAAAAAUGUGAAUGUCAUGGCAAGAAAGCACACCUUUAGUCUGGCCCGUUUCCGCCCAUUCCUUAUGCUUAUCUGGAUGACCUUUACAUAAAUCUAACUCGGUUAGCGACUAUUCAAUAAAAAUUAACGAAUCUUUAAAGUAUAGAAGGUUAUAUGUAGACGUGUCUCUAAGCAACUUUUAUUAUUCAGGAAUAAUAAGUAGAUGGUUUGAUAAUGGUCAAAUAAAAUACAUACUAUUUCUGUGUCAAUGACCAAAGUAUUUGGAAAGAUGGUUUAUUAACAAUGGAAAGCAUAAUUUCAUUUUAAAAUGUGCGUGAAAAAGGAAAUAUUUUAAACUAUGUUAUUUUCAAGACAUUAUUUCAAUGUAAAAACAGUUAUCAAGGAUUUUUCAGCUUUAGAUAUUGCAGCAUUUAUAUCAGUCAUAUGGCGUCAGAAGAAACUUUAGAGCAAGUUUGUGGACGUUUCUCUAAAAAAUUAAGUUAUUACUAGUUGA